GAAAUAUAAGAAACCGUCUCUUAACUUUUAACUAAAAAAACUAAGAACCGGUUUUUAAAUAUUUAAAAACCGGUUCUUACAUUUUUUAGUUAAAAGGUAAGAGACGAUUUCUUAUAUUUC
rfam:Brassica napus, WGS project CCCW01000000 data, contig: 17724